GGCUAUGUGGAGGCCCAAGGUGGCCAUGGCCCCCCUCAACUUUUCAAUAUUUGCUUAAUGGUCCUUCAAAUUUUUUUUUAUUGUACCAUGAAUAGAUUUAGCUCCCCUAGUUUUUCAAUAUUUACUUAAUAAUAUGGUGCCAACAUAACUCUCUCUCUCUUUCUCCUAAUCGAUAUACUCUUUUUAUGGAUGAAAAUAUAUUAAAAUCUUCUUGCUUAUAGAGUCUUUGGUAAUAUAUUUCUCUACUCUAAAAAUUUUAUUUAAUAAUUUUUUAAACUUUUA
rnacentral:lncRNA from 1 species